CGGCGCCACUUCUUCUCCCUCCGCCAUCAAGGUUUCGAAACAAUUUGUGGAGUGCAUUUCGUUGCCGAAUCACGGUACUGUUCAGGUGAGAGCUGCUUUCAAUGUGGCUCAUGCUUCUCUUGUUACGAUAGAGCCUCACACCGAGGAUGAUUGGGAGGUUUUGGAACUCAAUUCCGAACAAGCUGAGGCUGCUAUCCUCAACCAGAAUUCUUCAACUAUUUCUCGAUGAUAUUCUUGGUCUGGGAAACAAGACUACUGACAACGAAAACAAGAGGAAGUCUGCCAGCGAGAAUAAUUCUUCAGAUAAUAAAAAAAAAGCAAGGACCAAGGAGAUAGAUGAAGAGGAGCAUAAUGUAGAUGAAGAUGGAGAUUUGGGAUACAACCCUGACGUUGAUGUUGAAUACUUCAUGAUGAGCAAUUUCCAGCUUUCUUCUGUUACUCAAAGUAAAUUAUUUUGUUGAAUUGUUUAUCUCGAAAACAUUAAGAUAUUUUGACUAAUACUUCAUCUGCAUGUCUCCUCUUGGGUCUAAAGAUUACUGAUGACUAGAUCAGGGAAGCUACCGUGAUUUUCUGGAGCAAUUCGGUAUCGUGUGGGGUCUUCUUUGCGUAGUACU